AAACGGUUUCCGAGAUAUUAUUUCGAAUUGGCGACCAGGCCGUACCCUAUCGGGAACUUCCUGAAUGGAGUGAGGGCCCCUAGUGAAACCCUCCAACAGAAUUAUGUUAGUACUUUUCAAUAUCUUACUUCAUGUAUCACGUUCUACUAGAUCUGGCUAGAUGCAUAGACUUCGCAAUGUUCUUUCAAUGGUUCGUCUGCUACCGAACUGUCGCGAAUGCCACGAGGAAUUACAUUUUUAUACUUUUAAAACCCUUCACCGAUCCAUCUUUUAUUAUUCUUCCAGCUUCUCUUAGCUACGCACUGGGUAUUCUCCCCUUGUGGUUCAAUUUUGAGGCAGUGUUUUCGCCUGCUUUGGUUGACACGCAAUUUUUAAAAAGGAGAUUCCUCUUCAAAAGUUGCAUGCAGAUGAUGUACACAUCGUACACAUAUAUGUUAUCUGAAUCAGUAAAAAAUUUUCUCGUCAAUUUUCGUUUUUAUUUUUCUUCUGGUUUGAUAUGCCAUCUGUUAUCUCUCACAAUCUCGUCUCACCAAACCAUGUUCCACUUACUUUGCAAGAGAACAAGUUUGCUUCAAUCUGGGGCUUGUUUUUUUUUUUUAAUUAAAAAUAAAACCAUUAAAAACUAAGCUGUUAUGCAAAAUAUUUUGUUUAUUAUUUUAAAUGCUUGUUAGACUUAUUAGAAACCAUGUUAUCGUAAUCAGCGUUUAGUCUGGUUUAAUAUGUAAACUUCUGUGAUCAAAUUCAAUGUAUGUGAUGUGUGGUAAUCUGAAAUUUUUAUUUUGCUCAAGAAGGAAGGAAAGAAAUAAAAAUAUUGUUUAAGAUA